GAGUUUGAUCGUGGCUCAGGAUGAACGCUGGCGGCGUGCUUAACACAUGCAAGUCGAACGGGGAACCCCUGAAAGAGGAUUCGUCCAAUUGAAGGGAAUUCCUAGUGGCGGACGGGUGAGUAACGCGUGAGGAACCUGCCUUGGAGAGGGGAAUAACAGUCCGAAAGGACUGCUAAUACCGCAUGAUGCAGUUGGGUCGCAUGGCUCUGACUGCCAAAGUAUUUAUCGCUCUGAGAUGGCCUCG
rnacentral:rRNA from 1 species